rnacentral:rRNA from 1 species
GGGCUGGGGGUCUGCCGAGGGUAGACCUCC